rnacentral:lncRNA from 1 species
GGGCGGGGUCUCGGGCAGGGGCGGGGAGCUUACCGACCUCCCGCCCCCGCUGCGCGCGUUUCUGGCCCUGCCAGUGUCUCCGCCGGUUGAAAGCGCGUGUCUGCGUCGGGUUCUGUUGGAGUGCGUUCGGUGCGCCGUGGGUCCGCGCUGCUUCCACCCAACUUCCUGUUAGUUUCUCUCCUGUCACAAUGGCAUGAUCUCGGCUCACUGCGACCUCUGCUUCCUGGGUUCAAGGAUUCUCCUGCCUCAGCCUCCCAAGUAGCUGGGAUUACAGGAAUCUCACCAGUGACACGCGUUUGUGAAAAGCUGUGAAUAUUCAGUGCCACAGGGUUAAACCUCGGUACAGAAGCGAGACCCUGCUGGGCAGAGAAAGGGUGACCUGGAAGGUGUGUGAGGGCCCCGCCCAUGGGCCCCUGUGAUGGUCAUGGCCUCAAGAAUCACAGUCCAGGUGAGGCCCUGAAUAUCCACAGCCAGGACCAGUUCCCUCUGCUCUUGGGUGCCAAGGCCACCGUCAGCCAGGAGAGGCCUGCAGAAUCAGCCUGUGCACCUCUCUGACGAUAAGCAGAGAUGCUGGUUUAGAGACUUGCUACUCACGGGGAAGUCCUUGGGCCUCCUGUACUCACAUUACCUGGAACUUCUUGGAAAUUCAGAAUCUCAGGCCCCAACCCAGACGGACUGAAUCAAAAUCUUCAUUGUGGUAAGACCCUCGGUGACACACAGGCCUGGGAAGCACAGGUUAGCGUGUCACCUUGGGCAAAGCUCUCAGCAUUGUGAGCCUCUGUUUUCUACUCUGUAAAGGAGGCAUGAAUAUCUACAACAUCAGUUUGCCAUGAGUAUUGAAAAAUAAUGUCUUAGAAGCACAGGGCAGAGCCUGGCAUGUAGUUUGUGCUCAGUGCACAGCAGACAAGAAACCACAUGCACCAGACCUGGGCGGCCGUCGGCAGCCCACCCUGAGCAACCAUGGGUGGCCCUCUUGUCUCUCGGGACAAGAAAUGCUUCUUUAGAAAUGCUUCUUUCCUUUCUAAAAUGAAAGUUUUGGACAGUAUUUCCUUUCAUUUAAAAAUUUCAUCUGUGUAUUUGAUGGCCUCUGUUGUUUCUUUCCUGAAACUCCUGCUAACAUACUGGGAGCUGAAGAAGGGCUCCGUGAAGGCGAGUAGGGGUGCCUGUCCCUCCCAGGGAGGAGCUUCCCUCCUCUCACCUGCUGCACGAGCCCUAGUGCUUCACCAACUCCAGCCUCAGUGCCCUGACACUGGGGGAGGGAAAGGAAGCGCACGCACCAGCCGUUCCACCCACCGAAGUUGUUUGGUCCCAAUCUGCAAAAUCAGUUAAACGUCUUCCUGCCUGGCAGCAGAUCAAAGGGUGAGGGGUCUGGGACAGACAGAGACGGCUAGAGAAUGGAUGGUGAAGUGCUCAGAGGCCCUGUGGGCUAUCCCACACUCGGCGGAAGACAGCAACACCAUCAAAUCUCCACCCUUUGUUAUCCAUGACUUAAAGAAAAGUGAACAGGGAGGUGGACAACUGUGCAAAGACUGGCUGGAGUCAAAUCCUGGGCAUAGGUGAAGCAUCGAGAAUGCUUGUCACACGUUUGAAUGUGCAGGGGGACUCUGACUGGAAGCUCCUAGCAGAGGCUGAAGACACUGGUUAGGUCCUGGUGCGUGCCUUGGGAUGCAUCCCAGGCAACGGGCCCAGGAGCUUGAGGUCAUGUCCACCUGGCUCACCAGGGAGUCCUGCACCAUUCUUCAAACCUAACUGGAAGAGACACUGAUCCUUCCUCCCACCUAAGGGCUCCCAGAGCCACAGGUCUCCGACUCUCCUGCAACACCUCCUGCUGCCUGUUCCCACCGCCCAUGAUUCACUCAGUCACCAUCCUCAGCAGCACCCGACAGCCUCUGUGUGUCUGUGUCACUCACCAUUACCAGCCCCCUGGGUGCCCAAUGCAUGUAUGUUAGACAGAACAAAUGCACGGCGGCCUUCAGCAGCACCGACCGCGUCAACCCCUCUGUGCUCACACCAGGAGUGAUCAGCGCACACGCCCUCCCACAGGAUGGGAGAAGGUGAUAACAGCUGAGCUGGGUGUCCAGAAGCCAGCCCCACCCCACAGCCACUACUGAGAGGUUAUGAGAUCAUGGCCUUAUCCCGAGUAAUGCUGCUGCAGUGAACUGGGACUUUUUUCCUCUGAAUUCAAAGGUGGGGCAGUCUAGGCACCUGGAUGCACCAUCUGCUCUGUCCCGGCCUGGUGGCUGCUCACUGUGGGAUGCUGUGCAAUUAGACAGUUACUAUCUUUCCCUGGUUGACGGAUUAGAGUUUCCCUUUUCUGAGCAUCUUGUUUUGAAGUGAUCCGAAGUGUUUAGGGUUAAAGAGCGUGAUUUUCCCAAACUGUCCAAAGAAAUAGAAGCAGGUCUGCAAGAGGGGGGUGCCCAGAGCCUUGAGAUGGAAGCGAGAUGGGGUGAGACCUGGGGAGCUCUCCAGGCCGCCGGGAAGCUGCACGUCAUCCUCUGGACCUCUUUGCUGACUGUGUGCUGUCACCACAGCAGCCGCCUUCUCUCAUCUGUAAACAGGAUUUUACGUAAAUUUCCAUACACUUGGUUGUUGACAAUUAAGUAGAUUGUUUUUAAAGAUACUUGAAAUGAUAUCAGAAUUUCCUAAAUAUAUCAUUAAAACAGGAAACUUAGUUACCUACUCACUCGAAUCACUAGAGAAUACCAAAUAGGAAUAGGAAGAUAACACACUGGUAAGAAAAAUGUCCAAGGCCAAUCACAGGAGUCAAAGCUCGUGAUCAAAUCAGCUCUGCCUGGGGAGGCCGUGCUCAUGGCACCAUUUAGUGACAAGUGGGUGACUCUGGGGCAAGUUCCAGGGGUGUCACCCCCAAGGCAGCAGCUCAGGUGCAGCCACCAUGGAGGCAGUUUCACUGAGGGGCCCUCUGAGGCCCCUACUCUGAGAUUCUAAGACAGGGUUUGAAGAAUGUUCCAGCAUUUGAACACAUGAACCCUAUGAUGUCCUGCUGUGAGAGAGAACAAUGUCCCAAUUUUGCCCAGGUGAUUUGAACAUCUCGGUAUGGAUCUGUUAUGGGUUGAAUUUUCUCCUGCCCAAAUUCUUAUGUUGAAGUCCUUACCCCUGAUGGGACUAGAUUUGUAGACAGGGCCUUUAAGGAGGUGAUUAGCGUAGUGAGGUCACCAGGUGGGCCCUGAUGCAAUCUGGCAUCCUCCUAAGAGGACAUGAGGACACAGACACAUACAGAGGGACGAUCGUGUGAGGACACAGAGGAUGGCAUCUGCACGCCAAGGAGAGAGGCCUCAGGAGGAACCAGCCCUGCCCACACCUUGAUCUGGGACUUCCAGCCUCCAGGGUUGUGAGAGAGAAAUGUCUGUUGUUUAAGCCAUGCAGUCUAUGGUGCUUUGUUAUGGCAGCUCCAGCAAGCUAACCUGGGAUCUAAAAUGAUACUUAAACUGGUUCAGUCUGAUUCUUAAACUGGUUCAGUGGAGCUAGGCCAGGCUCCCUCUGAGCAGAUGUUGGUCCCUUUGCAGGCCUGCUGUGUGUGAUGAUUGCUAACCAGGUUAUGACAGUGAUCUUUAAUUUCCAUCAUUAUCUUCUAUGGAGUUCUUCAUUCCCACAUCUGUGGACCUUAAAAUCCUACCGUUGAGUGCCUGCCUUGGAUCAGCAGUCAGUUCGUUACCUUGGUUCUCAGACGAUGCUUGCAACAACGCCAUGCGAUUCGCCCACUCUUGGGUUACAUUAGUUAUACACUCUGGAGGUGACUUGACCUGUCAUUGUGAACAAUUAUUGCUCUUGGACGACCCAGGACAUAGGCCAGCCAGUACGUACCCCAGUGUGUUGGAGAAUCGCGCUCGGCUUCUUCCUCUGUGCUGAGUCAUGAAAGUUGCCGGAGCAGGUGCAGUUACACAACCUCCAGGUAUGAUCCUGUUUAAGGACUGGAUUUAGGAUAACUACUUAGAGGUUAAAAGUCACAAGGGUGUAUGGAUGAGGCUGGAGUGAUCUGGGACCAAAGACAUCUAGGCUUGCUGUCAAGGCUUCUGAUCAACAUGAGAUGACCGCCGUGUGGUAAACUGAUGAACCCUGACCCUGAUCAACAUGAGAUGACCGCCGUGUGGUAAACUGAUGAACCCCGACCCUGAUGAACGUGAGAUGACCGCCGUGUGGUAAACUGAUGAACCCCGACCCUGAUGAACGUGAGAUGACCGCCGUGUGGUAAACUGAUGAACCCCGACCCUGAUGAACGUGAGAUGACCGCCGUGUGGUAAACUGAUGAACCCCGACCCUGAUGAACGUGAGAUGACCGCCGUGUGGUAAACUGAUGAACCCCGACCCUGAUCAACGUGAGAUGACCGCCGUGUGGUAAACUGAUGAACCCCGACCCUGAUGAACAUGAGAUGACCGCCGUGUGGUAAACUGAUGAACCCCGACCCUGAUCAACAUGAGAUGACCGCCGUGUGGUAAACUGAUGAACCCCGACCCUGAUCAACAUGAGAUGACUGCCGUGUGGUAAACUGAUGAACCCUGACCCAUUAGGCUUUGGCUACAGAAUGUGGAAAUAAGUUGUGUUACUACAUGUGUGUAAUCCUAGGGUGCAGGACACCGGCCGGGAGGUUCCAUAGAGUGAUGGGUUCUGCAGGUAACUCAUCCUCUAGUCCUCUGUAAGCUCCUAGAAGGAAGAAAUUAUGUCCUUUAGACUAAUAAAAUUCCUCCAAACCAAAUACAGCACCUACUGUGAAGACACAAAGAUACUUUUAGAAUAGUAAAAACUUUAUCCAUUGAGAAAUUCCUUAAUGAAACAGUAUCCAAGAAGUCAUUUGCCAGCAGAUUUCUUAGAGGUGCGAUAAAGAAGAGGACAUUGCCAGUCGUCACAGCAGCUGCAAUAGCUCCUCUCUAUUGUUAAACAGUGGGAUAUCUUGUGCAGGUUUUCAGUUGACAAUCAAUUUUAAAGAUUAGUUUCGGUCCCCAUCAAUCAAUUAUUUAUUAACCCAUCAAUAAAAAUUUAAAUGCUCUGUGAGGUACAAUAGCUAUUAAAAGAGACAGAGGCACUUUCUGUGUCCAGAGGGGCUUUUAGUCUGCUCUGGAAAGCAAGAUGCGUGCAGAUGAGUGACGCAGUGCAUCGUGUGGAUGCAAAGGGAGGGACUCACAUGGGAACCAGAGGAGCUACGAAGGGAGGCAGUGGGGACUGGUGGGUCGAGACCUGGAAAUAACACAUGAAUAGGCAACAAAGGUUUCCUUUCCUCUUCCAUGCACUUCAGUCCUUGAAAAACGUCUUACCACGGAAUUCCACAGCGUACCAAGCGAUUCCACAGCUUGAUGGCACACUCUCCUUUCUCAGCAUUCUUGAAAAUGGCGUGUGAGCCAAGCCAUCUUACUGAGAAAUUACCUUAAACCAUUUGAUGAACCAAAAAUAUUUUGUAAUACCCAUCUCCGACAUUAGGUAGGCAAAUCACACAGAAACACCGAGGUCUUCUGAGUCAUAUUUAUCUGAAAAAUCACAGCUUGGGUGCAUGUGAAGCCAGAGGAGCACUCCUGGGGCCUGCGGUGCCAUCACUCAGCUCCCCUGGGCUUCACAUGGCCAUGGAGCACCCAGCAAGUGUAGGCUCUGAGCCUUCAGGGAGGGGCGGCAUCAGCCAGCACCAUCGUCUCCUGGGUCUUGUGCCUCUUCCUUGGUUGCGGUGUUGUCAGGGCCAGAAUUGGGCAAUUCCGGGUGACAUCCAGGUGUGGCUGCUGACACGGAGCACAGGUGAGGUUCACUGAGGACACCCUGCUCCUGUGGUUUGCAGCCCCGGCCUUCUCUUCGAGGACGCCUCUGCUCUUCUGCCUCACACUCGGAUUGGACCUUCUUCAGCACAGCCAGUGGCCGAGGCUUCCUCCCUGGGGCUCAGUGGAGCAGGACAGAUGCUGCAUCCAAACUCUUCCAUUGGGUUCCAGUCUGUUCCAGUCAUGCCCUUGAGCCUCUAAAGCUCCUAGGUGAGAGACGUAGCAGCUGACAGCACUUCCCACUUGAUUUGGGUGGACUCCAGCCUCCCCAGCAACAAUAAGAGAUCAAAAGCAUCGUUGAGGAAGCAGCUUGCUGAAACGCUGAGUGCCCGCCACUCUCAGGUCAGGUGGGACCGGCAGGCCAGCAUGAGUUCCUGAACACUUGGUUCUCAAUACUGGCCACAGCCACACUGUAAGGGGAAACAAGAGGGCACUGUAUGCAAACAUCUCUUGAACUCUGGAGUCUGCUCACCUUCCUGCCUCAAGCCCCUCUCCCACGUGGUCCAGUCACCAUUCUCCACAGAGACUACCCUAAAACCCAGCGACUCUCGUGUGCCUGCAGAAUGGCACAGCCCGUUCUCAUAGCAGCACUCCUGUUUAAUCAGAGGGAUGUUAACGACCAAGUCAUAUUUGCUCGAUUUGUGUUCAACAUAUUUCAUUUGUACCGAUAAAACUUAAAAAUAUCCCCACACAUGCAUUGCCUAUUAAAGAGUAUCUUCCAGGUACACCUCCCUUACACAUCAGUUAACUUGAUAAUUUCUUCCCAUUCUUGUGCAAUAAAUUUCCUUCCUGAUCAGCUCUGUCCAGCAGCAACAAUAAUCCACGUAGAGACAUGCAAACUAAAAGUCCGUUAGUGGAGGCACGAAGCUGAUGAGGCUUGGAAAAAAAUGACCGAUUUGAUUAAAAUUAGGACCCAUGGGAGUGGAGCUCUGCCUAUUUUAGAGGCAAAGUAAAUGCCUGGGAGUCCAAUCACCGACAUUCUGUUUGAGGUUUCUAAUCACAAGGAAGAUGGAGAAAAUGCAGAACAAGUGGUCAAGAACAGGGAGAUAAUAAAUAGAAUAUUUAUGGGCUGAGGAAAACAAUUACCAGGGGAAAGCCCAAGAAGCAAAGAUGAACAGAGAACGUGCUGACUGCGCUCGUUUGGAAAGGCCUCAUGGCCAAAGGAGGAGAGGCAUUAUGAGGAGCAGUGACCGAGUGGGCAGGACCCCCGGGGAUCAGGAAAGGUGCACGGGGGGAAAUGAGAGGCCUGAGCGGCUUCCCAGCGAAGGUUUUUGAAGCACGGUUUGAUUUUCUCUCUCCCCCUCACCAUCCCCAAAUUUUAGUUGUGACUAUCUCCAGGUACAUGGCUUGCGACAGGCGGUGUAUAAAAACUAAUGUCAGUUUAAUUUUAAAACCUUAGCCAUUUUCUGGAACUUAAAUAUCAAAGAGAAAAUGUCCACAUAUGAUGUUAAUUGAGGUUUGUCUCACUGGUGAUUUGUGCUGAUUCAAUUCCUGUUUCUUUUUUUUUUUCUUAAGGGGUCAGUUUUAGAAUUGGGAGAUAGGUGUAUAACAUAUGACUAUACAGCGCAGGUUGGUUUUUUAACAUAGAAAUAUCUGCCUUUAAAUGAGAACUGAAAACGGAGCUUCUUGGAGGCCACCUGCUGGUGGCAGUGAUCUGACCGCUGUUUAAGCUUUCUUUGAACUCCUUUUUUUAAAACAGCCUCCAUAAUCAAUGGUGUACGAUCUACUCUCGUGGUAAAACUUACUCAGUGAAGAGUGUGUUUUAUUUUCUGAGGAGCUGAACUGUUCCAACCUGAGUAUUCUGAAUAAGGACAGUGGUCGAGCAUGAGUGAUGCCAUCUGGGCUUAGAAAUAAGUGGGCCUAAAAUCUGAUUGUUUUCAUACAUUGUUCAGAUAUUGACGCAAAUAGCAAUUUAUUUUGUAAAAAAUGAUUGGUAUCCGGAACUUGCAACAGCUGUGUGUGGCUUGAAGGGAGAUGAAGUGGUGAAGGCCUGGUUUCCACCGAAGCUCUCACAGCCCAGCCUUUCACUGUGUGGCCGGGGGAAGGGUGCUCCGGGUGGGGGACGGGAAUGGUGGGACUGGGGAUGCCACGGGACAAGGCUGCUGGCCUGGAAGGUAGUCACGUGGAGAACCGCAGGAGAUGAGAUUGGAAAGUAGUAAUAAGCCAUGUGGAUAAGAACAGAGGAGCGGGUUUUAAGGGGGACGUCCUGAAAUGCUGCUCAUGUCGUUUCAGUUCCAUAGACCACAGGAAAUGCAGGUGAGAGGGCAGCCCGGUGGGAAGGAAGGAAGAGGGUGGUGGUGAGCCAGGUGAGUGUGGAGCCGCCCAGGGCACCGUGCUGUGCGAUAGCUCAGGCAUCGGGUGCUUCUGCCAAACCCUUCAGCAGCUGGUUUGGGGCCAAACGUCCUUCCUGUGUGAGAGAAGGCAGAGCCUAGGCAGCAUUCCAAACCCCAUCCAGAUGGGAGGCUGAGUGCAGAGCAAACGGAGCCCAGCACUCCAGAGCCGUGUCCCUUCACUGCCAUGAUCACAUCACAAACAGCGAGGCUUGGAGAGGACUUAAGAGCUCCUUCAAUGCCAUCUUCCAUCCACUGCGUGAGCCAGAAUAGAAAAAAAGGAAUAAGAAGAGGUCGGUUAAGCU